GAUGAAGAACGUAGCGAAAUGCGAUACGUAAUGUGAAUUGCAGAAUUCAGUGAAUCAUCGAAUCUUUGAACGCACAUUGCGCCUGCCAGCACUCUGGCAGGCAUGCCUGUUCGAGCGUCAUUUCAACCAUCAAGCCCUAGGCUUGCGUUGGAGCCCUGCGGCUGCCGCAGGCCCCUAAAAGCAGUGGCGGGCUCGCUAUCACACCGAGUGCAGUAGAUUACUCUUCGCUCAGGGCGUGUGGCGGGUUCCAGCCGUGAAACCCCCUACUUCUCAAGGUUGACCUCGGAUCAGGUAGGAAUACCCGCUGAACUUAAGCAUAUCAAUAAGCGGA
rnacentral:misc_RNA from 1 species